rnacentral:rRNA from 1 species
CCUACGGGGGGCAGCAGUCGAGAAUCAUUCACAAUGGUGGAAACCCUGAUGGUGCGACGCCGCGUGGGGGAAUGAAGGUCUUCGGAUUGUAAACCCCUGUCAUGUGGGAGCAAAUUAAAAAGAUAGUACCACAAGAGGAAGAGACGGCUAACUCUGUGCCAGCAGCCGCGGUAAUACAGAGGUCUCAAGCGUUGUUCGGAAUCACUGGGCGUAAGGCGUGCGUAGGCUGUUUCGUAAGUCGUGUGUGAAAGGCGCGGGCUCAACCCGCGGACGGCACAUGAUACUGCGAGACUAGAGUAAUGGAGGGGGAACCGGAAUUCUCGGUGUAGCAGUGAAAUGCGUAGAUAUCGAGAGGAACACUCGUGGCGAAGGCGGGUUCCUGGACAUUAACUGACGCUGAGGCACGAAGGCCAGGGGAGCGAAAGGGAUUAGAUACCCGUGUAGUC